UUCGCAAUGCCCGAAAGGGUGACGAAGCGACGCCGCGUGUGGGAAGAAGGCCUUCGGGUUGUAAACCACUGUCGGGAGUUAGGAAAUGUAAGGGUGCUAAUAGUAUUCUUACUUGACUAAGGCUCCGGAGGAAGCCACGGCUAACUCUGUGCCAGCAGCCGCGGUAAUACAGAGGCGGCAAGCGUUGUUCGGAAUUAUUGGGCGUAAAGAGCACGUAGGCGGCCUUGUAAGUCAGUUGUGAAAGCCUUCUGCUUAACGGAAGAACAGCAGCUGAUACUGCAAGGCUAGAGUGCGGAAGGGGAGAGUGGAACUUCUGGUGGAGCGGUGAAAUGCGUAGAUAUCAGAAGGAACACCGGCGGCGAAGGCGACUCUCUGGUCCGUAACUGACGCUGAGUGUGCGAAAGCUAGGGGAGCAAACGGGAUUAGACACCCCGGUAGUCCUAGCCGUAAAC
rnacentral:rRNA from 1 species